rnacentral:rRNA from 1 species
UCGGCUCAGAUUGAACGCUGGCGGCAGGCCUAACACAUGCAAGUCGAACGGUAACAGGAAGAAGCUUGCUCUUGCUGACGAGUGGCGGACGGGUGAGUAAUGUCUGGGAAACUGCCUGAUGGAGGGGGAUAACUACUGGAAACGGUAGCUAAUACCGCAUAACGUCGCAAGACCAAAGAGGGGGACCUUCGGGCCUCUUGCCAUCGGAUGUGCCCAGAUGGGAUUAGCUUGUUGGUGGGGUAACGGCUCACCAAGGCGACGAUCCCUAGCUGGUCUGAGGGGAUGACCAGCCACACUGGAACUGAGACACGGUCCAGACUCCUACGGGAGGCAGCAGUGGGGAAUAUUGCACAAUGGGCGCAAGCCUGAUGCAGCCAUGCCGCCGUGUAUGAAGAAGGCCUUCGGGUUGUAAAGUACUUUCAGCGGGGAGGAAGGGAGUAAAGUUAAUACCUUUGCUCAUUGACGUUACCCGCAGAAGAAGCACCGGCUAACUCCGUGCCAGCAGCGGC